rnacentral:SRP_RNA from 1 species
UCGUGCUAGGCGGGGAGCUAGCGGUGCCCUGUACCCGAAAGCCGCUAUAGCGGGGCUGAAUUCCUGUUUGAGGUUUACGGCCGGCUAGAUUUGUUUUUGCUGAGCAGUGUUGAUAAUCGGGUUCUAUACAACUGGAGACUAUGAACCCCGUCAGGUCCGGAAGGAAGCAGCGGUAAAUAGUAAUUCCAGUGUGAUAUAGAGUUGCCUGGUUGGAGCCAGCUGGCAAAGACAGCUUCCCGGUUUAGGAAUCGAGAACAGGUGCACGG